rnacentral:tRNA from 1 species
GGAGGGUGUCCUACUGAUGGGCAGUUAAGGGACUUAAAAUCCCUGUGAGGUGGGUCGCUGACACGGCCCAGGGUUCGAUUCCCACACCCUCCU